GUUAAGGAAAAGAACAACUGUAAUCCAACUGAAAUAAUUUGUUAUUAAUUUAGUAACUUUAUUUUUCCUACGUAAAGUUCUUUUCUACUAGUAGAAACAAAUUCUCUAUUUAAAAUAUGAAACAGUAAAUUAUUAACUGGGUUAUAAGAAAAAUCUAAUUUUAGGAUGAUUAUGAAGUUUAUUGGCUAUCACAGGACACUUUUUUCCUUCAUAUCCAUUCUUAAAAUAAAGUACAGGUAUAUUUCACUGAUAUAAGAGAGGGAUGUGUAUUUUAAAUACUUUGAGAAAUGGGAUUAUUUUUAAAGCAUUCUUUUGCAGUGGGGGGAUUAAAGUCAAUGACAAUGAUAUGUCUUACAAAUCUGGAUCCUUCAUGUAUUAGGCUUGUAUAAAAUAGGAUCAAUUUAUACAGCUUCGAAAUUGUUUUCUAGGAAAAAUUUCUCAAGUUAGAAUUUGCGAUUUCUUGUAUUGAAUGACUGAAGGAAAACAACUUUUGUGUUGAUCAAAUAUCCAAUUACCCUAAAAUGUUUAUGUUCGUAUUUUUACAACAUGUCUAGACCAUUUACACUGAAGAGUUAGGGUUAUUCUUCAAAUUAAGGGACAAUUAACCUCUAUACAGUACAGAAUGUGCAGAAAACGAGUACUCCCAAACUGUGCAAUUCCUGCCUCUUUUAUGAAGUAAAUUACAUGAAUAUAGAUUCAAUUAGUGGAUGUCACAGCAGAAAUUCAGAGAAAGUUUUUCUGGGACCUGAAUAGAUCUCACGAACCUGUUACACUACCCAGGUUGAGAGGAUGUGCAUUUGAGAGAAUUUCUAAAGACUCCUGCUU